rnacentral:rRNA from 1 species
CGGACGGGUGGGUAAUGUCUGGGAAACUGCCCGAUGAGGGGGAGUAACUACUGGAAACGGUAGCUAAUACCGCAUAACGUCGCAAGACCAAAGAGGGGGACCUUAGGGCCUCUUGCCAUCGGAUGUGCCCAGAUGGGAUUAGCUAGUAGGUGGGGUAAUGGCUCACCUAGGCGACGAUCCCUAGCUGGUCUGAGAGGAUGACCAGCCACACUGGACUGAGACACGGCCCAG